rnacentral:rRNA from 1 species
AUUGAACGCUGGCGGCAGGCCUAACACAUGCAAGUCGAGCGGAUGAGGGGAGCUUGCUCCCUGAUUUAGCGGCGGACGGGUGAGUAAUGCGUAGGAAGCUGCCCGAUAGAGGGGGAUACCAGUUGGAAACGACUGUUAAUACCGCAUAAUGUCUAUGGACCAAAGUGUGGGACCUUCGGGCCACAUGCUAUCGGAUGCGCCUACGUGGGAUUAGCUAGUUGGUGAGGUAAUGGCUCACCAAGGCGACGAUCUCUAGCUGGUUUGAGAGGAUGAUCAGCCAAAAUGGAACUGAGACACGGUCCAGACGCCUACGGGAGGCAGCAGUGGGGAAUAUUGGACAAUGGGCGCAAGCCUGAUCCAGCCAUGCCGCGUGUGUGAAGAAGGCCUUCGGGUUGUAAAGCACUUUCAGCGAGGAGGAAGGGUGGUGUGUUAAUAGCACAUCAUUUUGACGUUACUCGCAGAAGAAGCACCGGCUAACUCUGUGCCAGCAGCCGCAGUAAUAC